rnacentral:rRNA from 1 species
UACGUAGGUGACAAGCGUUGUCCGGAUUUACUGGGCGUAAAGAGCGCGCAGGCGGUCGUUCAAGUCGAGUGUGAAAGCCCCCGGCUCAACUGGGGAGGGUCACUCGAUACUGAUCGGCUUGAAGGCAGGAGAGGGAAGCGGAAUUCCCGGUGUAGUGGUGAAAUGCGUAGAUAUCUGGAGGAAUACCGGUGGCGAAGGCGGCAUCCUGGACCGGCAUUGACGCUGAGGAGCGAAAGCUAGGGGAGCAAACGGG